UACCAGCACCCCGAGUGGUCGGGACGAUUAUUGGGCCUAAAGCAUCCGUAGCCGGUCCUGCAAGUCUUCCGUUAAAUCCAGCUGCUCAACAGAUGGGCUGCGGGGGAUACUACAUGGCUAGGAGGCGGGAGAGGCAAGCGGUACUUUAUGGGUAGGGGUAAAAUCCGUUGAUCCAUAGAAGACCACCAGUGGCGAAGGCGGCUUGCCAGAACGCGCUCGACGGUGAGGAAUGAAAGCUGGGGGAGCAAACCGG
rnacentral:rRNA from 1 species